rnacentral:lncRNA from 9 species
CGUUUGUUGGCCCGGCAAGGCGGAAAUGGUGGCGUAGUAGGUUUUUUGUGUUUUUUUUUUUUCCCCCCCUCCAUCCCCUCCCGCCCACAGGGUUGGGGUUUCUGGCUGUGAGUGAGGUUUCUGGAAAUCUCUGUGGAAAGUUAAUGAGCUUACGAUUUAACGGAGAAGCUGCUUAUUAAACAAUUUGCAGUAAUAAUGUGAGACAAAUGCUUUGCUGGAGAAAGUAUAGGAAUUCAUAGGAACAUCUACCAGGACUGAUGAAAUGCUUCUCAGAGGCACUAGUGAUUAAACUGAGAUCUAACAAGUAUCUCUCCUCUACAGGGCUAAGAGGAGUCCCAGGCUUGAUAACACGCUGAACAAAGACCUGUCAUGGAACAGACUCUUGCUGAGAUUUAAACUGGAGAGUUUGUGGAUGUGGAGCUGGGCCAGGAUACACAGAGAAAUGUGGGGGAAGAGGGAAGUCACUGAGAAGAAUCAAGAGAUCUUGGUGCUGCUUUCAUUUGCUGUGUGAUGCUGAUCAAGCAACAUAUUGUCUUUAGGAAUCCUGUUAUAAAAUUUGUCCAACAGAACCUACCUCGCAGAAUUACAGAGAAGAAAAAGAAGAGAGUUCUAUAAACCUGAAGAGCGAUCUUUUCAAAAAAUCAUCAGAAGGAAGGAAUUUGUAGAAAUAAAACUGGAAACAUCCAGAAUCUUGAUGGUGUGCCAAACCAAAUGUCAACUGGAGCUCGACCAAAAACUAAAGUGCUCUCCAACAAACGAAGCAAAGAGAGAGCAGACAGAACAUGUGGUUAGAGAAAGGCUGAAGACUGAAUGUAGGCUCCUGUUAUUUACAAGUCUCAUCAUCAAAGGUAGGUUACUGAAGUAACUAAAAUUACUGAAAUAAGCCUCAUUCACUAACCUGUGAACAUACAUUACAACAAACCUAUCGGGUGUAAUUAUUAUGGGGUCAUAUGAGGUAAUAGAAAGUUCUGAGUAUGCUACCUGUAUGUGAUCAAUACAUGGUGGAUAUUACUUUCAUUAUUAUUUUUAAUGAUAAUUAGCUCUAUACAAAGUUCUCAUAAUCACCUCCAAGUACAACCUAUAUUUACUGAGUAUCCAUAUGAUGAAUGAUAAAGCAUUUUAAUGAUGAAUACAAGGCCAUACACUGCCAAAAGAAGGAGAAAUCAAGAUGCUCUAACUUUUAAGAUACAAAAGUUCAUUCUUUAUGUGUUAUCUUGGAUAAGUCACAUUCUGUUUCCUCAGAUAUAAAGUGUGAAAAGUGUUUUGUUUUAAUAAUAGAUGUACUGUGACCACAUAAUAUAACAAUUCUUUCAUAAAAUGUUUUAUAACAAAUAAGUACCCUCUUCUUACUACUCUGAAAGAAAAUGUAUAGAUGGAAGAUAUGCAAUUUCAAAAACCAAUGUAGUACCUUAAGUAUAAUAAAUAAAAGGAAAGUAAUUUA